rnacentral:rRNA from 1 species
AGAGUUUGAUCCUGGCUCAGGACGAACGCUGGCGGCGUGCUUAACACAUGCAAGUCGAACGGUAAGGCCCUUCGGGGUACACGAGUGGCGAACGGGUGAGUAACACGUGGGUAAUCUGCCCUGCACAUCGGGAUAAGCCUGGGAAACUGGGUCUAAUACCGAAUAGGACCACAGGACACAUGUCCUGUGGUGGAAAGCUUUUGCGGUGUGGGAUGGGCCCGCGGCCUAUCAGCUUGUUGGUGGGGUGAUGGCCUACCAAGGCGACGACGGGUAGCCGGCCUGAGAGGGUGUCCGGCCACACUGGGACUGAGAUACGGCCCAGACUCCUACGGGAGGCAGCAGUGGGGAAUAUUGCACAAUGGGCGAAAGCCUGAUGCAGCGACGCCGCGUGGGGGAUGACGGCCUUCGGGUUGUAAACCUCUUUCACCAUCGACGAAGGUCCGGGUCUUCUCGGGCUGACGGUAGGUGGAGAAGAAGCACCGGCCAACUACGUGCCGGCAGCCGCGGUAAUACGUAGGGUGCGAGCGUUGUCCGGAAUUACUGGGCGUAAAGAGCUCGUAGGUGGUUUGUCGCGUUGUUCGUGAAAUCUCACGGCUUAACUGUGAGCGUGCGGGCGAUACGGGCAGACUUGAGUACUGCAGGGGAGACUGGAAUUCCUGGUGUAGCGGUGGAAUGCGCAGAUAUCAGGAGGAACACCGGUGGCGAAGGCGGGUCUCUGGGCAGUAACUGACGCUGAGGAGCGAAAGCGUGGGGAGCGAACAGGAUUAGAUACCCUGGUAGUCC